UACAGAGGUCUCGAGCGUUGUUCGGAUUCAUUGGGCGUAAAGGGUGCGUAGGUGGCGCUGUAAGUCGGGUGUGAAAUCCUGGGGCUUAACCCCGGAACUGCAUUCGAUACUGCAGUGCUUGAGGACUGGAGAGGAGACUGGAAUUCAUGGUGUAGCAGUGAAAUGCGUAGAGAUCAAUGAGGAAGACCAGUGGCGAAGGCGGGUCUCUGGACAGUUCCUGACACUGAGGCACGAAGGCCAGGGGAGCAAACGGG
rnacentral:rRNA from 1 species